rnacentral:rRNA from 1 species
UACAGAGGUCUCAAGCGUUGUUCGGAUUCAUUGGGCGUAAAGGGUGCGUAGGCGGCGCGGUAAGUCGGGUGUGAAAUCUCGGAGCUUAACUCCGAAACUGCAUUCGAUACUGCCGUGCUUGAGGACUGGAGAGGAGACUGGAAUUUACGGUGUAGCGGUGAAAUGCGUAGAUAUCGGGAGGAACACCAGUGGCGAAGGCGGCGACCUGGGCCAAUAUUGACGCUGAGGUGCGAAAGCGUGGGGAGCAAACAGG